GGGAAAGGCUCUGGCUCAGUGGCAGAGCAUCAGCUUUGUACAUAGAAGGUCCCUGGUUCAAUCCUUGGCAUUCCCA